UACGGAGGGUGCGAGCGUUACCCGGAUUUACUGGGCGUAAAGCGCGUGCAGGCGGGAAGGUAAGUCUGAUGUGAAAGCCCCGGGCUUAACCCGGGAAGUGCAUUGGAAACUGCUUUUCUUGAGUACUGGAGAGGAAGGGGGAAUUCCCGGUGUAGAGGUGAAAUUCGUAGAGAUCGGGAGGAAUACCAGUGGCGAAGGCGCCCUUCGGGACGGUUAAUGACGUUGAGACGCGAAAGCGUGGGGAGCAAACAGG
rnacentral:rRNA from 1 species